AGCAGCCGCGGUAAUUCCAGCUCCAAUAGCGUAUAUUAAAGUUGUUGCAGUUAAAAAGCUCGUAGUUGAAUUUCGGGGUUAGUAGAUUGGUCAUGCCUCUGGUAUGCACUGGUCUUACUGAUUCCUCCUUCCUGAUGAACCGUAAUGCCAUUAAUUUGGUGUUGCGGGGAAACUGGACUGUUACUUUGAAAAAAUUAGAGUGUUUAAAGCAGGCUAACGCUUGAAUACAUUAGCAUGGAAUAAUGAAAUAGGACGUUCGAUCUUAUUUUGUUGGUUUCUAGGAUUGACGUAAUGAUUAAUAGGGAUAGUUGGGGGCAUUAGUAUUCAAUUGUCAGAGGUGAAAUUCUUGGAUUUAUUGAAGACUAACUACUGCGAAAGCAUUUGCCAAGGAUGUUUUCAUUAAUCAAGAACGAAAGUUAGGGGAUCGAAGACGAUCAGAUACCGUCGUAGUCUUAACCAUAAACUAUGCCGACUAGGGAUCGGAUGAUGUUAAUUUUUAAUUGACUCAUUCGGCGCCUUA
rnacentral:rRNA from 1 species